rnacentral:rRNA from 1 species
AUUGAACGCUGGCGGCAUGCCUUACACAUGCAAGUCGAACGGCAGCACGGGCUUCGGUCUGGUGGCGAGUGGCGAACGGGUGAGUAAUGCAUCGGAACGUACCUAGUCGUGGGGGAUAACGUAGCGAAAGUUACGCUAAUACCGCAUACGUCCUACGGGAGAAAGCAGGGGAUCGCAAGACCUUGCGCGAUUGGAGCGGCCGGUGGCUGAUUAGCUAGUUUGGGGGGUAAAGGCUCAGCAAGGCGACGAUCAGUAGCGGGUCUGAGAGGAUGAUCCGCCACACUGGGACUGAGACACGGCCCAGACUCCUACGGGAGGCAGCGGUGGGGAAUUUUGGACAAUGGGGGCAACCCUGAUCCAGCCAUUCCGCGUGGGUGAAGAAGGCCUUCGGGUUGUAAAGCUCUUUCGGCAGGAACGAAACGGUCUGCUCUAACAUAGCGGACUACUGACGGUACCUGAAGAAGAAGCACCGGCUAACUACGUGCCAGCAGCCGCGGUAACAC